GAUGAACGCUAGCGGCAGGCUUAACACAUGCAAGUCGAGGGGUAACAGGGAGUGCUUGCACUCCGCUGACGACCGGCGCACGGGUGCGUAACGCGUAUGCAACCUACCUUUUACAGGGAGAUAGUCAAUAGAAAUGUUGAAUAAUACCCCAUACGAUCUUUAAGGAGCAUUUCUUAGAGAGGAAAACUACGGUGGUAAAAGAUGGGCAUGCGUCCUAUUAGCUAGAUGGUAAGGUAACGGCUUACCAUGGCGACGAUAGGUAGGGGUCCUGAGAGGGAGAUCCCCCACACUGGUACUGAGACACGGACCAGACUCCUACGGGAGGCAGCAGUGAGGAAUAUUGGACAAUGGAGGCAACUCUGAUCCAGCCAUGCCGCGUGCAGGAAGACGGCCCUACGGGUUGUAAACUGCUUUUAUACAGGAAGAAACCUAUCUACGUGUAGAUAGCUGACGGUACUGUACGAAUAAGGAUCGGCUAACUCCGUGCCAGCCGCCGCCGUAACAC
rnacentral:rRNA from 1 species